UUUUCAAAAUAACAAAGGUGUGAAAAAGAUGGUGAAAAGUUAAUGAAGAAUUGUUAAUUUACACUAACACUGGGCGAAGAUGCGAAAAAAGAAUGUGUAAAAAGAAAAACCAAAAGUAAACUGUGUAAAAAAGAUAAUCACUGUGCCACCGAUCAGAUAAAGGCUGAUAAAAAUUACAGUAUGUUUGAUGAUCGAGCUGUGACAAUCAUCUAUUUACUCAUCAUAACUGACUUUUCUUGCCUUCCAAUGUGUUCAACUCGGGAUUAAAUAUCCAUUUAUUUCAAUA